UACGCUAUUCAAUUACACUAUUUUCUUUUUCUCUCUCUAGUUUGAUACGCCAUUCAAUAAUGAAAGCAGUAAGUUUCCUCUUUAUCAAUUUGCCAUCUUCAACUGCUCCAAUCCGAAUGUCCAGCAAUUACACCGCAAUUGAUAAUCAGAAUGUUUCCGGAUCUGUUCCUGUAAUUCUUUUCUCAUUUUUUUUUUGGUUUGAUUGAAUUAUUAUUCUGCCGUCGUUCAGAUCUAAUUGUCUAAUUUCUUAUAUAUUAUAGGCAGUCGCAGAUCCACCUUGCCAAGUUGCCGUCAAAUUCACUAGUAAUGUCUUCAGAUUUUCAACAAAAUUAUACAGUAGUAUUUUUGUGGAU
rnacentral:lncRNA from 1 species